GAAAUCUUACUGUCUGAUAGUCUGAAAAAGAAGUUUGAUUCAUCUGGAUCUCCCCAAGCCUCUUCAUAUCAUCAAGUUAUUAGAAAAAAUGUUUGAAUGAUGAAGGACCUUCACCUUCCAGCAUCACAAAAGGGAAUAUAUUGAAGUGAGAGAAUAUAUUGAAUAUAGAGAAGCGAAACUGCAGCUCCGAGGUUUGCUAAGAAAUGGUGUUCUCUUGCUCAGCAAAAUAAAUAAGAUACAUACAUAGUGCCUAUGGGGUACUAUAACAUAUCUCAAGUUUCAGCAGAACCACAGUAUGUUGGCCAGAAGUGGAGGAUCUCAGCCUUUUCAUUAUUCCUGAAGAAUAUGUACACUGCCUGUAUUUCUUUAAAGGUGAAUGUCUACUGUAUAAAAAUCCUUGGAUGUAUUUUUCAAGCAGAAGAAAAUGUGUUCUUUUACUCUUAUAAAACAAGUAAACACUAUGAGUUACUGUUUAUUAUUGAGAUCGCCUGCAGAAGAAAGACUACUCACAAAACAGAGAAAUAA
rnacentral:lncRNA from 1 species